CUUAUUGUUGUCAGUGAUGGAUUUUGUUGAAUGAAAAACAAGUGAUUUGACAUUCGUCACUACCACUGAGACAACAGGGAA
ensembl:snoRNA